CCACCAUCCCUCUCCUUGAGCGUUUGACCUGUUUCAUUGAAAAUAUUCACAGGGUUUUAAGAAAAUAACAGGUCUUCAGAUUGUGACAUGACAGUCGUACCUUUAUGCUCAACCUGUUUAUCAUCCAAAACUAGUAAGGAACAGAUCCUGUGCGGUUAGCACAAGUGGGUUCUCCAGUGCUUGACAAUCAUGUUGCCCUAGACAAAGCACAAUGCUUGAAGCAUAACAUAGAUGCAAUAAUUCAAGGGCACCCCAUGUUAUUGCUGGAAAUCAGCCACAACAUUACCCUUCCACCUGUUCUUUGCAUAUCAGAAUUAAUAAUUUGUAGACUCAAGAUCUCUGCUGACA